GAAGUAUCUUUUGUAGUAAAUUGUUAUGAAGUUGCUUCAUGAACCUUAUGCCCUAAAGUUUGUCUCUUGGAAGAAUUUCUUCUACUUGUAUCAUCAAAAAAAUUCUCAUCUUUUCUUUUAUUAAAGCUUCAUAUUGGCUUUUAGCAAUAUAUGCAUGUACUAACAAAGCUUCUACAAGAUCCUCUCAAUUUGUAGCACUACAAAU
rnacentral:lncRNA from 1 species